UACGUAGGUGGCAAGCGUUAUCCGGAAUUACUGGGUGUAAAGGGCGCGCAGGCGGCCCUGCAAGUCGGAUGUGAAAGAUCAAGGCUCAACCUUGACAGGCCAUUCGAAACUGUGGGACUUGAGUGCAGGAGAGGAGAGUGGAAUUCCUAGUGUAGCGGUGAAAUGCGUAGAUAUUAGGAGGAACACCAGUUGCGAAGGCGGCUCUCUGGACUGUAACUGACACUGAGGCACGAAAGCGUGGGGAGCAAACAGGAUUAGA
rnacentral:rRNA from 1 species